GUUGAUAUGUCCGAGUUGGUCUAAGGCGUCAGAUUAAGGUUCCGGUCAGAAAGGGCGUGUGUUCAAAUCCCACUGUCAACA
rnacentral:tRNA from 1 species